GCUGCAGCACAGUCUUCAGCUCCUCUAUUCCUCAGUGAAUCUGUGAUAGUGCUGAUCUCAGCUGCUGCUGGAUCUCUCGUGUAUAUGAUUUUAAUUUGGAUGUUUUGUGUGUGCAGGGGACACAAAGAUGCAGCUCAGAACCAUGAAUAUGAGACUCCUCAAUUACUCCACAAACAGAUUGGACAAAUGAUGGAAUCUGAAAUGACAGAGGUAGUUUACACAUGUUUCAGCACAGAGCAAUGAUCAAACUCUCUGUGAAUCUGUUCCAUCACAAACGAUGGAUUGACCACAAUAACUUAAUAUGUGCUUUAU